GAGCUUACUACAUUUGCAAUUCGAGUGCUUGGUCUCACUUGUAGUGCUUCGGGAUGUGAAAGAAAUUGGAGCACUUUUGAAUCGAUUCAUACAAAAAAGAGAAAUAGGCUUGAACAUGCAAAGUUGAAUGCGUUGGUGUUUGUGAAAUAUAACUUCAAGCUUAGGGAGAGAAGUAUUAGGAGGAGAGACAAGAUUGAUCCCAUUGUAGUUGAUGAAAUUAAUUCAGAUGAUGAAUGGAUAACUGAGAAAGAAGGUCCAGUUCUCCCCGCAACUACUAAAUGGCUUGAAGAUGAUGAAUUAUUUGAAAGUGAUCCUAUUGUGAGUGUGCCAUCUGCUACUUUUGAAAGUCUUUUCGACUCAGAUAAGCGAGUCGAAGAUGUUGAGGAUAUAGUUGAAGUUCCUCCUACGAAUUCAAAAAAAAGAGUUGCUGAAAAUUCAAGUGGAAGCAAAGACAAACAAGCAAGGUUGAGUCUUGUUGAUGUGGAAGAUAAUCAUCUUGAUGCUGAAAAUUAUGGAGUAAUUCCAACUUUUGAUAGUGGAAAUUUUCCAACCAUAGACACUAUUGAUGAUGAUAGUGAUAUAGAGUUGGAUGAUACUGAUUAUUUUUAAGUUAUGUUGUUUUAAUUAUAAGACUUUUUAAAUUGUUGGUAUGGGAUAUUUUGACAUGUAAUGAAUUAUUAUGAUUAAUUUUAGGUUAUGUUAUUUUUA